GAGUUUGAUCAUGGCUCAGAACGUACGCUGGCGGCACGCCUAACACAUGCAAGUCGAACGAAGUAGCAAUACUUAGUGGCAGACGGGUGAGUAACAUGUAGGUAUCUGCCCUUUGGCCUGGAAUAACACGAGGAAACUUGUGCUAAUACCGGAUAAGUCUUUACGGAGAAAGCUUUAUGCACCAUUGGAUGAGCCUGCACUUGAUUAGUUUGUUGGUGGGGUAAUGGCCUACCAAGACUGUGAUCAAUAGCUGAUUUGAGAGGAUGAUCAGCCACAUUGGGACUGAGACACGGCCCAAACUCCUACGGGAGGCAGCAGUGGGGAAUCUUGCACAAUGGAGGAAACUCUGAUGCAGCGAUGCCGCGUGAGUGAAGAAGGCCCUUGGGUUGUAAAGCUCUUUCGUCGGGGAAGAAAAUGACUGUACCCGAAUAAGAAGGUCCGGCUAACUUCGUGCCAGCAGCCGCGGUAAUACAGAGGAUGCAAGCGUUAUCCGGAAUCACUGGGCAUAAAGCGUCUGUAGGUGGUUUGGUAAGUCUGCUGUUAAAGACUGGGGCUCAACCCCAGAAAAGCAGUGGAAACUGCUAGACUUGAGUGUGGUAGAGGUAGAGGGAAUUCCUAGUGUAGCGGCGAAAUGCGUAGAUAUUAGGAAGAACACCAAUGGCGAAGGCACUCUACUGGGCCAUAACUGACACUGAGAGACGACAGCUAGGGGAGCAAAUGGGAUUAGAUACCCCAGUAGUCCUAGCCGUAAACGAUGGAUACUAGAUGUUGCACGUAUUAACCCGUGCAGUAUCGUAGCUAAGGCGUUAAGUAUCCCGCCUGGGAAGUACGCUCGCAAGAGUGAAACUCAAAGGAAUUGACGGGGGCCCGCACAAGCGGUGGAGUAUGUGGUUUAAUUCGAAGAUACGCGCAGAACCUUACCAACACUUGACAUGUUCGUCGCGACUCUAAGAGAUUAGAGUUUUCGGUUCGGCCGGACGAAACACAGGUGCUGCAUGGCUGUCGUCAGCUCGUGUCGUGAGAUGUUGGGUUAAGUCCCGCAACGAGCGCAACCCUCACUUUUAGUUGCCAUCAUUAAGUUGGGCACUCUGAAAGAACUGCCAGUGAUAAGCUGGAGGAAGGUGGGGAUGACGUCAAGUCCUCAUGGCCCUUACGUGUUGGGCUACACACGUGCUACAAUGGCAUCUACAACAGGAAGCAAAACGGCAACGUUAAGCAAAUCCCGAAAAGAUGCCUCAGUUCGGAUUGCACUCUGCAACUCGAGUGCAUGAAGCUGGAAUUACUAGUAAUCGUGGAUCAGCGUGCCACGGUGAAUGCGUUCCCGGGUCUUGUACACACCGCCCGUCACACCAUGGGAGUUGGUUCUACCUUAAGGCAAGGUUUUAAACCCUUGACCACGGUAUAGUCAGCGACUGGGGUGAAGUCGUAACAAGGUAACC
rnacentral:rRNA from 1 species